CACAAAAAGGGUCAUCCAGUACUUUGCCACAGUGGCAGCCCUGGGUGAACCUGGUAAAAAAAGUCAGCCAGCUACCAAAACUGGGGGAACCUUGGAAGAUCAAAUCAUUCAAGCAAACCCAGCCCUAGAAGCUUUUGGAAACGCCAAAACCCUGAGAAAUGACAACUCCUCACGUUUUGGUAAAUUUAUUCGAAUCCAUUUUGGAACCACAGGCAAGCUGUCAUCUGCGGAUAUUGAGAUCUGUAAGCACCAUACUCUCUUCUCUUUUAAAAAAUACUGAUUGCUCAUAUGAAAAUUG
rnacentral:lncRNA from 1 species